rnacentral:rRNA from 1 species
AUGACAGUUGUGCCUCAGUGGAUCGAGACUAAAGGUCGCAUGUCAAUUGUUAGCUUACGACCAUAUCCUACAGUGCACAUGAGUGCAUUCAGGAUUUCUGAAAGCGAUGAAUGUUUAAUAUUGAAAGAUUGGAGCAAAAUUGUUAACGAUCGCAGAGAAGUACUAGGGGGCAGCAAUCAGAAGUGCAGCCCACGAUUAGGAGACAGGUUCAUCUGCAUGCUCCAAUAUGAUGAAUCAGGAGAGCUAUACAUGUUCUAUGCUAUUUUACCUAAGAGAGAGAGCAGCAGGAGUGAUUUAGCUAGUUAUAUCAUGCUCUUAGUACUUGUUGUCCUCUCAUGCGUGUCCGUGUUCUUCGUCCUGAACUUAAUCUCAAAGAGUGAUUUGCUUUUGUGGUGUUAUGAACGCUUAUAA